rnacentral:rRNA from 1 species
AAAAAUUAUUAUAGUUUACAAUUUUAUUAUAAAUUUAUUUUACAUACAAAUUUUAGUAUUUAUUAAUAAAUUAUUUUAAUAAUAAUAAAUUUUGUAGUAAUUAAUUUUAAAAUAUUUAAGAAAUUAAGAUUUA